rnacentral:rRNA from 1 species
AUGGGGCUAAUAGCAGUUUACAUCAUCAAUAAAUAUUCUAGAGCUUACUGCUUGUCUAGUCUACUGCUCCUACUUAUUUCCAACACUCUCUUUGUAUCUCUCCCUUCGAAGUUCGAGGAGCAGGGGCAGCACCAAACACCAAGCAAAGCAGCAGAUUCAGCAAUCAGCAGGUACUACGCAGAUACGCAGGUACUACGCAGAUACGCAGAUUCAGCAAAGCAGCUCUCCACUCCCUGGACAAAUCGAUUCAACAAUCAGCAGUCCGACAAUGACACCGGCUACUACGAUGACCACGGUGAAGCCAAGACCAUGGACAAGCUCAACUCCACCUUCUGGCAGGGGGUCGGUCUGAUCGGAUGCGUGCAGUCAGUCGCGUGUCAAGAAGGUGGUGUUCGAUCAGUUCACCGGGGGGACAAACCAGGUUGGGUUCCUGAAGCUGGCCCUUGGGCGAGCGGUGCUGCUGCAAGAGGUGACAGUCAUAAACUGCAGCCGUUGGCUUCCAAGAGAAUGUGGGUCUUGGACAAACCUUCUUUGGAGGUCUGUGGGGGCGCAGCAGGUCACAUUUGGAGGUACAACAGAGCACCUGAUCUUUCUAGCAAAGACCCAUUUAUUUCUUAA